rnacentral:rRNA from 1 species
UACGGAGGGGGCAAGCGUUGUUCGGAUUCACUGGGCGUAAAGGGUGCGCAGGUGGGUUUGCAAGUUCGAUGUGAAAGCCCCGGGCUUAACCCGGGAAUGGCAUUGGAUACUGCAGAUCUGGAGGAUCGGAGGGGGGACUGGAAUUCUUGGUGUAGCAGUGAAAUGCGUAGAUAUCAAGAGGAACACCAGUGGCGAAGGCGAGUCCCUGGACGAUACCUGACACUGAGGCACGAAAGCUAGGGGAGCAAACAGG